GACGAACGCUGGCGGCGUGCCUAAUACAUGCAAGUAGAACGCUGAAGGAGGAGCUUGCUUCUCUGGAUGAGUUGCGAACGGGUGAGUAACGCGUAGGUAACCUGCCUGGUAGCGGGGGAUAACUAUUGGAAACGAUAGCUAAUACCGCAUAAGAGUAGAUGUCGCAUGACAUUUGCUUAAAAGUUGCACUUGCAUCACUACCAGAUGGACCUGCGUUGUAUUAGCUAGUUGGUGAGGUAACGGCUCACCAAGCCAACGAUACAUAGCCGACCUGAGAGGGUGAACGGCCACACUGGGACUGAGAGACGGCCCAGACUCCUACGGGAGGCAGCAGUAGGGAAUCUUCGGCAAUGGACGGAAUUCUGACCGAGCAACGCCGCGUGAGUGAAGAAGGUUGUCGGAUCGUAAAACUCUGUUGUAAGAGAAGAACGAGUGUGAGAGUGGAAAGUUCACACUGUGACGGUAGCUUACCAGAAAGGGACGGCUAACUACGUG
rnacentral:rRNA from 1 species